CANGCGCNCCUACACAUGCAGUCGAAACGAGACCUUCGGGUCUAGUGGCGCACGGGUGCGUAACGCGUGGGAACCUGCCCUUAGGUUCGGAAUAACUCCCCGAAAGGGGUGCUAAUACCGGAUAAUGUCUUCGGACCAAAGAUUUAUCGCCUUUGGAUGGGCCCGCGUUGGAUUAGCUAGUUGGUGAGGUAAAGGCUCACCAAGGCGACGAUCCAUAGCUGGUCUGAGAGGAUGAUCAGCCACACUGGGACUGAGACACGGCCCAGACUCCUACGGGAAGGCAGCAGA
rnacentral:rRNA from 1 species